rnacentral:pre_miRNA from 1 species
AUCACCUAGGGAUCUUGUUAAAAUGCAUAUUCUAAUUCAGUAGGUUUUGGGUGGGCCUAAGAUUCUGCGUUUUUAAUAAGCUCCCAGGUGAUGCUGA